GCUCAUGGCUCAGAUUGAACGCUGGCGGCAUGCCUUACACAUGCAAGUCGAACGGUAACAGGUCUUCGGACGCUGACGAGUGGCGAACGGGUGAGUAAUACAUCGGAACGUGCCCAGUCGUGGGGGAUAACUACUCGAAAGAGUAGCUAAUACCGCAUACGAUCUGAGGAUGAAAGCGGGGGACCUUCGGGCCUCGCGCGAUUGGAGCGGCCGAUGGCAGAUUAGGUAGUUGGUGGGAUAAAAG
rnacentral:rRNA from 1 species